rnacentral:rRNA from 1 species
CGCCAGACUCCUACGGGAGGCAGCAGUGGGGGAUAUUGCACAAUGGGGGAAACCCUGAUGCAGCGACGCCGCGUGAGUGAAGAAGUAAUUCGUUACGUAAAGCUCUAUCAGCAGGGAAGAAAAUGACGGUACCUGACUAAGAAGCCCCGGCUAACUACGUGCCAGCAGCCGCGGUAAUACGUAGGGGGCAAGCGUUAUCCGGAAUUACUGGGUGUAAAGGGAGCGCAGACGGCAGUGCAAGUCUGGAGUGAAAGCCCGGGGCUUAACUACGGGACUGCUCUGGAAACUGUGCAGCUAGAGUGCAGGAGAGGCAGGCGGAAUUCCUAGUGUAGCGGUGAAAUGCGUAGAUAUUAGGAGGAACACCGGUGGCGAAGGCGGCCUGCUGGACUGUAACUGACGUUGAGGCUCGAAAGCGUGGGGAGCAAACAGGAUUAGAUACCCGUGUA